CCUACGGGAGGCAGCAGUGAGGAAUAUUUGUCAAUGGCCGGAAGGCUGAACCAGCCAUGCCGCGUGAAGGUCAGUGCCCUAUGGGCGUUAAACUUCUUUUGUGCGGGAGCAAUAAUGGUCACGUGUGGCAGACGAGAGUACCGUACGAAUAAGCAUCGGCUAACUCCGUGCCAGCAGCCGCGGUAAUACGGGGGAUGCAAGCGUUAUCCGGAUUUAUUGGGGUUAAAGGGUGCGUAGGUAGUUGGGUAAGUCAGCGGUGAAAUGCCCCCGCUCAACGGGGUGAAGUGCCAUUGAUACUGCCUUGCUGGAAUGCGGAUGCCGUGGGAGGAAUGUGUGGUGUAGCGGUGAAAUGCAUAGAUAUCACACAGAACACCGAUUGCGAAGGCAUCUCACGAAUCCGCGAUUGACGCUGAUGCACGAAAGCGUGGGUAUCAAACAGGAUUAGAUACCCUUGUAGUC
rnacentral:rRNA from 1 species